rnacentral:rRNA from 1 species
UUAACACAUGCAAGUCGAACGAUGAACCCGGAGCUUGCUCUGGGGGAUUAGUGGCGAACGGGUGAGUAACACGUGAGUAACCUGCCCUUGACUCUGGGAUAACCUCCGGAAACGGAAGCUAAUACCGGAUAUGACGUACGGAGGCAUCUCCUGUACGUGGAAAGAACUUCGGUCAAGGAUGGACUCGCGGCCUAUCAGGUAGUUGGUGAGGUAACGGCUCACCAAGCCUACGACGGGUAGCCGGCCUGAGAGGGUGACCGGCCACACUGGGACUGAGACACGGCCCAGACUCCUACGGGAGGCAGCAGUGGGGAAUAUUGCACAAUGGGCGCAAGCCUGAUGCAGCAACGCCGCGUGAGGGAUGACGGCCUUCGGGUUGUAAACCUCUUUUAGUAGGGAAGAAGCGAAAGUGACGGUACCUGCAGAAAAAGCACCGGCUAACUACGUGCCAGCAGCCGCGGUAAUACGUAGGGUGCGAGCGUUGUCCGGAAUUAUUGGGCGUAAAGAGCUCGUAGGCGGUCUGUCGCGUCUGCUGUGAAAACCCGAGGCUCAACCUCGGGCCUGCAGUGGGUACGGGCAGACUAGAGUGCGGUAGGGGAGAAUGGAAUUCCUGGUGUAGCGGUGGAAUGCGCAGAUAUCAGGAGGAACACCGAUGGCGAAGGCAGUUCUCUGGGCCGUAACUGACGCUGAGGAGCGAAAGCGUGGGGAGCGAACAGGAUUAGAUACCCUGGUAGUCCACGCCGUAAACGUUGGGCGCUAGAUG